rnacentral:tRNA from 1 species
CGCGAGGUAGAGCAGUUUGGCAGCUCGUUGGGCUCAUAACCCAAAGGUCGUAGGUUCAAAUCCUACCCUCGCAA